rnacentral:lncRNA from 1 species
AUCCAGGUUGUCGCAUUACCUGCAGUUUCUUUCUUUUUAGUGCUGGGUAGUAUUCUAUUAUGUGAUUGUACCACAGUGUGUUUAGCCAGACUCCUCAGAUAUUUAAUAUAAUUUUCAAUUUUUUUUCAUCGUUACCAUCUCAUGCUUACACUUCUCAUAGGUAACAGUUAAAAAAUUCUUUUCCCAAGAUCUUUCUUGUGAAUGCUUCUCAUUAAAUUAUCUAUAAAUCAUGUCCCUUUAUUGAUGUGUCAAAGAGGAAUAGCUCCACAUCUAACUUGGCCCUCCAGCAUUUUUCAACUUGGAACCCAGUGGAAGAAUACAACUUCCCCAAUAGUAAGAACAACAUGGUUAUAGGAUCUUGGCAAGAGUUUGGAACUGUACAGGUUACAGUAAGUAAUUUUGGCAAAUGUUCCUAAUUCACUCUGUUCUUUUGCACACAUUAACCUUUUACUCCAGGGUUCUUUAGCAAUGCACUUUUAAGUGCUAUCAGAGAGAAUGUAUUUGUUCUAAACCAUGCAUAACCCAGUGAAUCUGAGAGCUUGGUCUUUGGGGGGAACUGUUUUUAAAGGAAGACCAUUUUGUAUUUGAUACAGCUCUGGCCAGAACUGAAUUUAACAAAUCGAUAUACACUUAUGGUUUCACCAAAGGCUUCGGGUGGGUAAGGAGGUGGUGGUGUGACUUGGAAAGGCAUAGACAGCUUUUUAUUACUCUAAGUAGUGGAGUUGGCAUUUUUCUUUUCGGUGCAAUAAUGAUUCAGACACACAAAAGGAAUCCCCAUGAUGCUAAGUAAAAAAUACUUUGUGUUUUCUUUUUCUGCCUUUUUCCAACCUCACCCUGAGAUCAUGAAAAAGAAUGGAAAGAAAAAGAUAAUAAUGAGACUCUGACUUAGUAAAAGCAAAGUUCUUUCUCUGUUAGUAUCACACAAACAGAGAAGUCCCCAGGCCUUUCAUGUGUAUUCUGGAAGGAAUGCCUGCUUCCAAAAAUGGUAAAUUUAACCUUCUCAAAGUUACAUUUUCCUGAAUUAUCAAGGCUCAAUCUUGUUCUUUUGUUACUGAAUACAUCUCUCAUAAAACUCAGACGCCUUUUUGGGCUGACCCUGGAGCUGAGGGUGGAGGCGCAAAGAGGCGGGUCAUGCAGGUACUGGAUCUUUACCAGUGUCUGUAAGUGAAUCUGAAACUGUUUAGAAGGAUCCCAGAAUUUGAGAACUGUGUAGUAGGACCUGGAAUCUGGGAUCUAAAGAUGCUAGGACAACUAACGAAGGCUAAGCCAAAGGCAAGUAAUGAUUCCAGAUAAUUAAUGAAAUUAAGAAACGUAAACUUCUGGGAUAGAAGGCAUUUCUAAAUACUUGUGUUUUAAAAUAUAUUCCUUAUACAAAUACUCAGUUAUAAUGUUGGUUUCAAGAACCGAUCAAGAAGGAUUGAUAAGUGUUUCUCAAAUACCAGUGAAGUGCCUGUCCAUCGCCCAGGAAACUUGCAUGUAUUACUUUGUGUAAUCCUCCUGAUAAUUCUAUCAGAUGGGUACUCCUAUUUACAAAUGUGGGGCCGAGUUGCAAUGAAUACUUAAAAUGCCCGGAGCCAUGACACAGAGAUAAGAUCUUAGCCCAAUUGUUCUACCUGUCUAAAUAUCUGUUAUCUAAAUACACAUGAUGUAUUUUUAUCUAUUUGUAUUAGUACAUUCUCUCAUUACUAUAAAGAAAUACCUGAGACUGGGUAAUUUAUAAAGAAAAGAGGUUUACUUGGCUCACGGUACUGCAGCCUGUACAGGAAGCAUGAUGCUGGCAUCUGCUUGGUUUCUGAGGAGGACUCCAUAAAAUUAUAAUCAUGGGAAAGGUGAAGCAGGAGCAGGCACAUCACAAGGAGAAGCAAGGAAGCAAGAGUGAGGUGCUACACACUUAAAUGACCAAAUCUCAUGAGAACUCACUAUUGUGAUAACAGUACCAAGGGGGAUGGUGCUAAACCAUUCAUGAGAAAUCUGCCCUCAUGAUGAGUCACCUCCCACCAGUCCCCAUCUCCAACGUUGGGGUUACAUUUCAGUAUGAGAUUUGGGUUGGGACAGUUCCAAACCAUAUCACUAUCAAUGUUUCUUUGUGUGCACAUAUCUAUAUAUCUAUGCCUAUCUCUAUUUCUACACCUAGAUAGUACCUUGAGAAAGUAAGUCUAUAUCUUAUUUUCAUAUUGGCAUAUCUUGCUCAAGUAAUAAAAAAGACCAACCACAAGUGAAAAUAAACCUUAGGAUCAUGUCCACUGUAUAGAAUAAAGAAAAAAAGAAGAAGGAAAAGUAUAAGAAAUCUGAAAUAAUUUAUGAGUAUAGGAUGGGAUAGUAAUUCCAAGAAAAACAUUUUAAGUAACAGUAGGAAUCCUGUUAUAAGCUUAUAUAACUCCAUGGAAGAAAUGGAGAAAACAGGGAAAAGUAAAAUUAAUUGUAUAAUUCAGUUACAUUUUAACACUUGAUUCACACCUUAUUAGGAUGAAUCAGUUCUUAGUAUUUUCUCAGAAGACAGAGGAAUCUUAGGAAAACUCUAGGUGCCCCAGAAGCAAUUUAUUUGCAUUAUAGUUUAGUUAAUGGCUUUUGGAAGAAAAAAGAGCCUGAUCAUAUCAAGAAAUGUGUUAUGUUUUUUGUUUUGCUUUUUCUUUUUUUUUUUUUUUUGUCACCUGACAAACUUGGAUCUGCCUGGGAAAGUUGAAAAGGGGUAGGCAGGUAAAACUAUGUGUGCAGAAUAGGCAGAGAGCAUGCAUUGUUUAGCAUGAAGGCAUAUAUGUUUCCAGUCUAAACUCUUUUAUGAAGCCCACCAAUGAUCCGAGUUCUUUCACCUCCCUCCUGAAUUUUCCUUCUCAGAACUCAUCGUAUGUGUCUAGCAGGCUGGAUCCAUCUUCAGGCAUUACCAAAGACCUCAAAAUGCUUGUGAAACUCUUAACCCUGUACUGAUUUUUAAUAAGAUAACUCAUCUGAUUUCUUUUAUAAUCUUACUUAGUCCUUCCAAACCCUAUUCAAACUCUUCCAUUGAUUUUAAUUGUGAGUAACUUUUUGACAGGGGCCUAUCUAAUUAUCCUAUUUCCUCUGCGCAGCAUAGUGCUUUGCGCAUCAUAACUGCUCAGUAAUAUCUAAAUAAUUCUGUUUUCUUGACUGCUAGGGAUCCACUACUAGACGUCCCUGCAUGCUGAUGUCCAGCUCUGUGCUCCUUAAAAUGGUGCCUUAUUAUGCCUUUGCCUAUGGCAAAGAUAAAAAUUCAGGUUUAGAGAGAUUGAACAAAGUCACAUGAUUAACUAGUGGGUAUGAGCAUGAGUUAAGCUCCAUGCUUGUCCCAUUGCCCCGUAGUGCCUCAAAAGUUCACACGCAAUGAAUAAGGCACAUUAGGGUAUUUAUCUGUGCCAAGGGAAGAGCGUAAUAAAAGCUUGGAGAGUCUGUACUUGCAAUGACAUUUGCACACUUCCACACAAGUGAACACUCAAGUGACCCAUUCUUUCUGUCCUAUAAUGCAUGAGCUAACAUUUGAAAAGAGAUUGGAAUAUCUGCAAAAAUGUUCUGAAAAUGUUCAUGUGUUUCGCGUGCUCUUAAAAUAUUUUUUCCACAUUCAUAUAGCCUUUUGCCAGUACAAAGAAUGAGUUCUACAUUUCUUCCUCUUAGAAUAAAACUCAAAGAUAUGUUUUCCAAAUGCUUCACAGUCUAACCUGUACACGCUGCUCUUUGAUGGUGGCUGUAUUUCAGAGCUCAUGGUAGGUAAGGCAGAUGGAACAUUGUCUUAUCUCCUUCCUGUCCAUACCAGUUUCUUCUUGUAAGCUAUAGAAUGAACUAAAGGAAGAUGACUGCUUUGUUUCUCACAACUAAUGUGAUCCGUGAUUCAUGAUAUGUACUGUUCUCUUGGAAUAAUGUAAAUAGGUUGUUUUAUCCACUAUAAGAGUUGACAAAACCAAUAUUCAUGGAAAACAAUUAUAGUUUUAAAGUAUGCUGUAUGUUUCAGGUCCUUUUAUAGUUGGUUCAUACUUUUUAUGUGUAAUAUUCAGUACAAGCCUAUGGUUGAUAUUAGUGUUAAUAUUUUACAAUAAGAACUCUGAAGAUUAAAGUGAUAACUACCACAGAGCUAGCCAAUGGUAAAAUAGGAUUCAAUUCAAAUUGAUCUGUAUAAAAUUAAGUUCUCCUUAAUGACAUUUCAGUGAGCAAUUUUUUGUGGUUGCCUUUCAACUCUUGUAGCAUCAUGAUGAAGCAGAGAAAAGAAUAUCUUCUGAGGAAUGCUAUAUAGCAUAGUAGCAUAGUAUAGGGAAGGGAGGUAGACUUUGAAGCCAGAUCCCCUGGGUUAAAAUCCUGGCUCCAUUAUUUACAGCUGUGUCACUGUGUUUACGUCAGUAAAGUGCUCUUUGCCUCAGUCUCCUCAUUUGUAAAAUGGAAGCAAUGAUAGUAGGUACCUCUU